CAGUAAAUUAACGAAUUCAGAUAAUAUGUUUUUAUACAGGUGGCCGAUAUAAAGGGGAGGCAGAGCCGCGCUCCGAUAAUAAAGUAAAUCGACGUAGUAGAGUAUUCUUUUCUUUUCUUUUACUCAUAUUUCUUUUCCUUUAACGAGACGACAUACCGCCCGGUAUAAUACCGUAUUUUUUUUCCAGCGAAUAUAGAGUGAUCGUGGUGAUAACGUGUUAUAAUUAAGAAAAAUAAUGUAUCGUAAAUUUUCUAUCGAUCAUUUAUGUUGUAAAUGGUAUAAUAAUGAAAAUUAUUUAAAGAGAUAGAAAUAUAAGGGAGAGAGGGUAAUAAUGUGGGAAGAAACUAUACAUUUCUUUGUUAAGUGAAUCAAUGGUGUAUCUUACAAUGAAGUGGAAGAGCAUAUUUAUAGUACCAAAUAAUUUCACCAAACUAUUUCACUACUCCAAAUCAUUCAACUACUCCAAAUCAUUCCACUACUCCAAACCAUUCCACUACACCAAACUAUUCCAUUACUUUAUGGUAGUGAUUGAAUGACUUAUGAGCUCCAUUCAAUAUUCAAGAGUUUGAUUUUUGUAACACAUCUAAAAAUAUUUGGUUGUGCGGUAUAUGUGCCCAUUGCACCCCCACAUCGUACGAAAAUGAGACCACAGAGAAGGUUAGGCAUAUAUGUUGG
rnacentral:lncRNA from 1 species